GUCCUUUAGAAUUUAAUUUAAGGUCUAGCCUGCCCACUGAUUUAUUUUAAAUGGCCGCAGUAAUUUGACUGUGCAAAGGUAGCAUAAUCAUUAGUUUUUUAAUUGAAAGCUUGUAUGAAAGGUUGGACGAGGUAAAAUCUGUCUCUAAUUAAUUUAAUUUAGAAUUUAACUUUUAAGUUAAAAGGCUUAAAUGUAAUUAAAAGACGAGAAGACCCUAUAGAUCUUUAUAAUUUAUUUAUUAAAUUUAAUUAAGAAUUUUUUAAAUUUUAUUAAUUUAAUUAUUUUAUUGGGGUAAUAUAAAGAUUAAAUUAAUUCUUUUUUUUUAUUAACAUUAAUUUAUGAUUUUAUGAUCCAAUUUUAUUGGUUAUAAGAUUAAGUUACCUUAGGGAUAACAGCGUUAUUUUUUUAGAGAGUUCUUAUCGAUAAAAAAGUUUACGACCUCGAUGUUGGAUUAAAGAUUAUUUCAGGUGUAGAAGUUUGAAAAUUUUGGUCUGUUCGACCAUUAAAUCUUUACAUGAUCUGAGUUCAGACCGGUGUAAGCCAGGUCGGUUUCUAUCUUUAAUAAAUUAAAAUAUUUUAGUACGAAAGGACCAAUUAUUUAAUAUAAAAUAUUUAAAUUUUGAUUAUCAUUAA
rnacentral:rRNA from 1 species